rnacentral:rRNA from 1 species
GACGAACGCUGGCGGCGUGCUUAACACAUGCAAGUCGAACGAUUAAGCCCAGCUUGCGGGGUGGAUUAGUGGCGAACGGGUGAGUAACACGUGAGUAACCUGCCCUUGACUCUGGGAUAAGCCUGGGAAACUGGGUCUAAUACUGGAUAUGACUUCUCAUUGCAUGGUGGGGGGUGGAAAGAUUUAUUGGUCUUGGAUGGACUCGCGGCCUAUCAGCUUGUUGGUGAGGUAAUGGCUCACCAAGGCGACGACGGGUAGCCGGCCUGAGAGGGUGACCGGCCACACUGGGACUGAGACACGGCCCAGACUCCUACGGGAGGCAGCAGUGGGGAAUAUUGCACAAUGGGCGCAAGCCUGAUGCAGCGACGCCGCGUGAGGGAUGACGGCCUCCGGGUUGUAAACCUCUUUCAGUAGGGAAGAAGCGAGAGUGACGGUACCUGCAGAAGAAGCGCCGGCUAACUACGUG